GUUUGAGCCAGCUGAAAGAACCUAGUGGGGAAACCCCCACUCAACUCCCGAUUCGGCGUGCACCCAAGAAUCACGAAUAGAACA
rnacentral:pre_miRNA from 7 species